rnacentral:rRNA from 1 species
CAGUCGCCGCGGGAAUACGAAGGGUGCAAGCGUUAAUCGGAAUUACUGGGCGUAAAGCGUGCGUAGGCGGUUUGUUAAGUCUGUUGUGAAAUCCCCGGGCUCAACCUGGGAAUGGCAAUGGAUACUGGCAAGCUAGAGUGUGUCAGAGGAUGGUGGAAUUCCCGGUGUAGCGGUGAAAUGCGUAGAGAUCGGGAGGAACAUCAGUGGCGAAGGCGGCCAUCUGGGACAACACUGACGCUGAGGCACGAAAGCGUGGGGAGCAAACAGGAUUAGAUACCCCGGUAGUCCCUGUCUCUUAUAA